rnacentral:rRNA from 1 species
UACACGACCGUACCGCAAACCGACACUGGUGCGCGAGAUGAGUAUUCUAAGGCGCUUGAGAGAACUCGGGAGAAGGAACUCGGCAAAUUGACACCGUAACUUCGGAAGAAGGUGUGCCUUUAGUCAGUGAACCAUUUACUUGGGGAGCUAAACGAGGCUGCAAAAAAUCGGUGGCUGCAACUGUUUAUUAAAAACACAGCACUCUGCUAAGACGAAAGUCGACGUAUAGGGUGUGACGCCUGCCCGGUGCUGGAAGAUUAAAUGAUGGGGUGCAAGCUCUUGAUUGAAGUCCCAGUAAACGGCGGCCGUAACAAUAACGGUCCUAAGGUAGCGAAAUUCCUUGUCGGGUAAGUUCCGACCUGCACGAAUGGCGUAUGAUGGCCACACUGUCUCCUCCCGAGACUCAGCGAAGUUGAAAUGUUUGUGAUGAUGCAAUCUCCCCGCGGAAAGACGGAAAGACCCCAUGAACCUUUACUGUAGCUUUGUAUUGGACUUUGAACAGAUCUGUGUAGGAUAGGUGGAGGCUUUGAAGCCGGGACGCUAGUUCUGGUGGAGCCAACGUUGAAAUACCACCCUGGUGUGUUUGAGGUUCUAACCUAGGUCCAUUAUCUGGAUCGGGGACAGUGCAUGGUAGGCAGUUUGACUGGGGCGGUCUCCUCCCAAAGUGUAACGGAGGAGUUCGAAGGUACGCUAGUUACGGUCGGACAUCGUGACGAUAGUGCAAUGGCAUAAGCGUGCUUAACUGCGAGACUGACAAGUCGAGCAGAUGCGAAAGCAGGACAUAGUGAUCGGUGGUUCUGUAUGGAAGGGCCAUCGCUCAACGGAUAAAAGGUACUCUGGGGAUAACAGGCUGAUACCGCCCAAGAGUUCAUAUCGACGGCGGUGUUUGGCACCUCGAUGUCGGCUCAUCUCAUCCUGGGGCUGUAGCCGGUCCCAAGGGUAUGGCUGUUCGCCAUUUAAAGAGGUACGUGAGCUGGGUUUAAAACGUCGUGAGACAGUUUGGUCCCUAUCUUCCGUGGGCGCUGCAGAUUUGAGGAAGCCUGCUCCUAGUACGAGAGGACCGGAGUGGACGAACCUCUGGUGUAUCGGUUGUCACGCCAGUGGCAUUGCCGAGUAGCUAAGUUCGGAAGAGAUAACCGCUGAAAGCAUCUAAGCGGGAAACUCGUUUCAAGAUUAGAUCUGCCGGGGCCUUGAGCCCCCUAAAGAGUCGUUCAAGACCAG